rnacentral:lncRNA from 1 species
AACGAUGUCCAGGCAGGGGCCGGGGAAGCUCGUGCCAAGGCACUGAGGGGAAGUGCUGCAAUGAACCUCAGAGGCUGGAUCUUGCUGACUCAUCUGGGGUACCAAGGACAGACAAAGGACAUGGAGUCCAGGCCCAGGAGGCGAUACCAGGCCAGCAGUUUCACUGAUGCUCCUGUCAUGACGAUGACUGCCUCCCUCCUCCCCUUGGUCCCUGACUCAGUGUCUGCAGUGACCAGGCACCAGGCAGGGAGCAAGGAACCAAGCCUUUCACCUGCUCCCACCAACUCCUAUGGUGCUCCCUUUCCAAGGCUAGGUCUCCUCUCCACCCAGUUCCUUAUCACGUACCAUGAGAAGCUGUCACCUUGGCAACUGUCACCUUCUGGUGAGAUUUACAAUUGCACUGCUACAACUGCUUGUGGCAUGGUAAAGUUGCACCAGGACCUCUGCUGUCCAUGAGAUCAAAGUUCCAGGCCAAGGUGAGCACCCGCCUCCAUCC